rnacentral:tRNA from 1 species
GGCCAGUUAGCUCAGUCGGUUAGAGCGUGGUGCUCAUAGCACCAAGGUUGCAGGUUCAAUCCCCGUUUGGUCC